rnacentral:rRNA from 1 species
GGAAUUGACGGGACCCGCACAAGCGGUGGAGUAUGUGGUUUAAUUCGAUGCAACGCGAAGAACCUUACCUGGUCUUGACAUCCCGGAGACCCUUAGGAAACUAGGGGGUGCUUCCAUCUGGAAGAAUCUGGAGACAGGUGCUGCAUGGCUGUCGUCAGCUCGUGUCGUGAGAUGUUGGGUUAAGUCCCGCAACGAGCGCAACCCUUGCCUUUAGUUGCCAGCAGUUCGGCUGGGCACUCUAAAGGGACUGCCGGUGUUAAACCGGAGGAAGGUGGGGAUGACGUCAAGUCCUCAUGGCCUUUAUGACCAGGGCUACACACGUACUACAAUGGCCGAUACAAAGGGCAGCGACACUGCGAGGUGAAGCCAAUCCCGUAAAAUCGGUCUCAGUCCGGAUUGGAGUCUGCAACUCGACUCCAUGAAGUUGGAAUCGCUAGUAAUCGUGGAUCAGCAUGCCACGGUGAAUACGUUCCCGGGCCUU